AUGGAUGUCUAGACCAUUAAGGUGCAGUCACAUUUACUGUUGUUCUGUGAAUUUUUGUGGACAAAGUCGGUCGUUUCAGUAGGGAUUGAAAUCCAUGUGAUCAGCAAUUUCCUGUGAGGGUAAAAGAUUUCCCCACACAGAUUCCUCAAAGGGUUCAAGGUCACAUGGCGAAUGACCAACUUGGUUUGAAAGUGACUUCUGCUGCUUGGUUUGAAAGUGACUUCUGUGUAAGCUGUGCUUCAUACAUCGCUACAUUAUUGACGAUGGACUUUUUCCUGUGAAAUUUCAUGAUAAUAUUACCACACCUUUAUGGAUUAUCUAUUACACUCAUACUUCGGUUAACUCUCAUUCAUGAUGUUGCAUGCUGUGUAUAGGCCUUGUUGCUAAUAUCAGCUUAUACUAGUUUUUCAUUAGUUUUAUUCUAUUCUGUGGUGGUAAAAUUAGUCGCCGCCUGAGACUGCACAGCCACAGAUCACCCACAGUCGGUCUUUUUUUCCCCCAUGCCUCUAUUAUUGUGGUUUAAUCUAUUUUAGAUAACCCACGAUUAAAACAAACAAACUGUGGUCGAACUGAGAAUGUCAAUGUUCAUUCCUCAUGUCAAAAGUCUGGCUAGACGAAUCUAUUUUAGAAUAAACCCAUUUUUCAUGUGCCAUGAUGGCUGCAAAAAAAAUACUGUAAAUGCACUUAGUGUAUUCUUAAUUCAUCAGUUUCUUGUUAGUUUUGUUGGUCUUCAUUGUCUUUAUCACGGGACCAAUUGUUCUCAGUUGCUGAUUUAGCUAUUAUGAGAAUAUUAUCUUUUUCAUUUACUUUUAAGUGGAACUCUGCUUUAACUUUGCAUUUUCUGAUUUUGCUCAGGUUUAUAUAUCACAGAAACAGCACUUAGUCUCUGUAUGAAGAUUAGGGGAAGUUUGUAUUAAUGAAAUGAUCUUAACUGGAACUGAAUAACAGCUUUAAAUGCACAUUUUUCUUCUGUCAGAACAUGUCGACCGUACGUCAUACACUUUGCAUCAAUCACACACAAACGUCUUACUAAGCAAAUUGAUGCUUUUGCUCUGUGCUUGUGUGUUCUGUAAUUUUCAUUUGCCAUCUGUACAGAUGCUCAGUAUUCUAGUUAUGUUUUACCUGCACUGGUUUUGUGUUCAUGUCUUUGCAAUUGUUUGCUCACCUUAUAGGUUGCCUCCCACUUUUUCUGAAUUGGAUGGCAGAAUGCUGGGCUCACUGUAAAAGCUUUAUAAAUGUGUAUUCUAUAAUUAUCUAUAUGUAUUUUUGUAAUGAAGUAUAUAUUUAAAACUGG